CACAAUAGGCCGUUCCAAGAUGCUGUCAAAAUUAAAUCAAUAUGGCUACCGGAAGGCAAACAUUGAAUAUUAUUCUAUCAGGUUCUUAUGGUUUUAGAUCAUUUUAGUUGUUGUACAAAGAUUAAUUUAACAUUUUCUCUGGAAGUAUUAAUUUAGAAAGAUAAUAUGCCUCAUUGGUGUUGUGUUUUGAAGUGUGAAAUGCAAAGUAAUCGUGAUAAAGUUAGCUUUUACCACUUACCAUCAGUGCUACAUUCUAAGCACAAAACUGAACCAAUUUAACUAAAUAAGUUAUAGUGAUCAUCUGAGAGACAACAACAAUGGUAAAAUGCAAUAAAAUAUUAAGAUUUUACUAGCAAAAUGGAAAUUCCACUGUAAUCAUCUUAUAUCUGGUAAGUUACAACAUUUGAACAUUAACCAUUUUUGAAGAUGUUAACAGUCUAAUCUUGUAGGAAAACCAGCCGACUUAACUGAUAAUAACAAUCCAGAUUGGGUUCCUUCAAUAAAUAUGGGGUAUAUAAACACAAUGAAAUGAGUUCCCCAAAAUCUAAAAUGGGAAUUAAGGUACCAAAGGAGAAUUAAAAGAAAAGGGUACCUACAAGAAAAAAUUGCUUUUUUAUUCCUCUUGAAAUGAUUUAUAAGACACUGGACUGUCUUAUAUUCUACAAAUACUAGGUAGGUCUAUGAUUUUACACAUUUUUCAUUAAUGAUACAUUACUGUUACUUUAGUAGAUUUAGAAACAGUGGAUAGUUAGUGGUAGAUAGCAGUUAUUUGGUAUAAAAGCUAGUUUAGUAGAAGACAAGAUUUUGCCAAAUAGUCAAACAUAUAUUACAAUGGAAAAAUUAACAAAUACAUUUUAUGUCAUUAACAUUAACACAGGAUUUUAAAUAUCAGCUUAAGAAAUUAGCUUUAUCUUGUGAAAGUAUAGAAAAUGAUGAUGCCAAAACUAAAAAUUAUAGGUACUGGUUUAGCAAAUUACAAUGUUUUUAAAAUAGCUUUAAAGUAUAUUACACCAUUUAUCAAAUACCAUCAAAAUACGGUUUUGUCACCAAGUGAUCAAGUAUUGCUUACUUUAGCUAAACUAAGCUUAAACUUAGAUUAUAAAGAUUUGGGAUAUAGGUUUAGUAUUUCACCCUACCCGGUAUCAACUUAUUUCAAAAAUACUUUGUAUAUAAUGUGUCUUAGGUUAAAAAAAUUUGUGUUCUGACCUGAUAGAGAUAUUUUAAAGAAAACUAUGCAAAAUUCACUUAAAGAAUCUUUUCAUGGAAAUACUACAGGUAUAAUUGACUUUGGACGAAUGUUGGUAUGAAACGAAUUAUUUAUUGUUCUGAAGCCAGUUAUUUGAGGCAUUUUUGUAAUUAACUAUUCUAAUUGGGAAAUAAGCCACAAUUUAACUUAAAAAAUAAUUUUAUUAAUCUUUCGACUUCCAAAUCAGACGUCAUUGUCAAAAUACAAAAUAUUAUUAUUUAUGCAUAUUAUUACCUGUAAAUAUUUCUUCUGAUUGUUAAUUGUAAAGGAUAGAAAAAUUACCAUUUAUUUUAUUUUUUUUAGAAUCAGCUGAGAGAAGUGGUCUACAAAAACCCAGGAAGGAAACGGAAUAUGUGGCUACGAAAGGCAAAAGAAAGGUUUACAAAGCAAAUGUGACACAUUUUUUUGAAAUAUUUAGGAAUAUCAGUAAAUUGCAUUAAAAAAAUGUAUGAAAAGAUUUUGUUCAAUAAAAAUGUUUAUAUUUA
rnacentral:lncRNA from 1 species